rnacentral:lncRNA from 1 species
CUUCUACUUCCGUGUCUGCAUUAAAGUCAUAGCACCUCCUUCCAACCCCAUCGCAUAUUCUCAUAUCACUUUCAUCAUUAAUGAGCAGUGUUAGGUUCCAGAUGGUUUCAGGCCUUGAUCUGUUGGUGCACUGGCAGACCCUGGCUGUGUUAAGUUUUGAAAUGUUCUUAUCUAGAAGUUUCAAUGAGAACCUCUGUUUUUGCCACUUGCUCUAAUUCCAGUCACUCCCAGGAUCUGCUACUCUGAGACUUUUCGGGAACUCUUUACAGACCCAAGUUGCCCCAGCUCAAAGGAUGAGUUUGGAUAUGCCUGGAGCUUGAGUCCAAAAGGCACAAGAAUACUGUAUACUAAAAGAAAAAAUAGAGAGAGGACCACAAUAGAGGCACCACCUUUUGAAAAAGAUCUGGAAAAGCAACCUCAAUGUGGAUAUCAGAGCACAUGAGUUCCAGAAUCAGCAAAUGCUGACUUAAGCAGCCAGGGAAAACAGGGGCUGCUCCACAUCAUUUCAACCUCAUAUCUGUAUUUUAAGGAGUCAUUAUUAACUCUAUGUAUAAUGAAGGCAUUGAAACUCAGAAAGGUUUCAUGACUUUCUUAAGGUCACACAUUUAUUGCAGAUUCGAAACUUGAACUCAUAACUCUUGAGUCUUUGUUACUAACUGACUCUCAUAACCAAAAGAACAGCAUUAAAAUCUUUCUUUGACCAAAAUUAAAACCACUCACCUUUAAGUUAAAAAUGCCUUAUAAUCACUAGGAUCUUUUCUUUUCAAUGACUGUGGUUGUCCGUAGUUUUCAGGAUAAAGUUCAAUGUUCUCUCCUUAAGCCACAAGUCUCUCCAUUGCCUUUCUUCCUACUCCUUUGCCGUCCUCUCUCCUAAUCCUCAGAAGCAUGUCUUACUCUAUGCACUACCCUCCACCCUAGACAGUAAUUGCAAUUUUCCCAGUAUACAUGCUACUCCUCCAUAUCACUUCUCCCCUUUAUUUAUACACUGAACUCAAAUAUAUCUUUAAUAAUUAACUCUAUGGUCUCAUCUUCUGAAAAGCCGACUUUGACUCCAGCUUAAUUUAGAUGCCUCUCCUCUGCCCCCCACACACCAUGGGGACCACCCUUAGAGCAAUUCUUCAUAAUAACCCACUGACUUGCUUUCCUCCUUCACCAGAUUCAGAAUGUCCUAAGAACAAAACUACCUUGAAGUUGUCUUGUAUCCUCAGCAUCUAUCCCAGCAACUGAAGCAUAAAAAGUGAUUAAAAAAAUAAAUGAUUCUGAAUGAGUAAAUUAUUAAACCAAGAUGGAUCAGGAAUGACUAAAAAGACAAAAGGGGGAUAAUCUCUAUUUGAGAAGUCAAAUUCUUUCAGCCACAGAUUUUACCCACCUGUACAAUUUUCCAUGUCACUCCCUGCUGUCCUCUUCCAACUCCUCCCAUCUUAGUCUAGGAGGGAUAUUUUCUAGUAUAAGACAUUUCCUGUAAGAAUAUACUAUAAGUAAAAUUUCUAUUGAAAUUGCAGACUGCCAGGUCUGCAACCAUGAGCCAUGAGCAAGUCCCUGGCAAAAAUGGAAAGAAGAAAUCUACAGAGGGGAAAGAAAGUUUGGGGGUUCCUAUUGUAAACACAGAAUCCAUGGCUUUCCAUUGGCUGAGUCUCCACAGGCUCUCCUUGGAAGCUCUUGCCAGGAAGGAAGAGGAAGUUCUUUUUUGUCACUUUGGGCUCUGCCUAUCAUCACAGAGCACGAGAGCUCCCUCUUCUGGUCUCCCAACUCUAUUUGAUUGAAUUUUCUGUUUAUUCAUUUUUGACCACCCAUUUAUGAUUAUCUUUGGCAUGUUAAAGUUUGAUAUUAUGCUCUCAACUUUCACUGACAAUUGCUAUGAAAAAUAACCCCCCAAACUCACUGCUGAUCCUAUGACGAUAUUAGGAAGUUCUUAGAAAGAUUAGCUCUGGAAGAGCUUAAUUUUUCCUAAAUAGAUUGUAUCCUUUUUCCACUUUUGCAAUAUAAGCUAUGUAACCAGUAUAGUUUCAUAUUCAUUUUAUUUCCUAGGAACUUUAGAGUCAAAUUUCUUGUAAAAUCAUAGCAACUCUAUAAGUCCUCUGGUUUGCAAAUUUAAAUUUUUAUUUUCCUUUCUGGUCUCUACUUCAACAAUGUUUUUUGAGAGCUUAUUGCAUGCAUGGAACUAUUCUGGGGGCUUAGUGUAUAUUAAUUAACAAAACAGAAUUAAAAUUCUACCCUCAUGAAACUUAUCCAGUAUAGAGAUAUAUAAUUUUUAUGUAAAUCAUACAAACUAAUUCCAAAAUUAAUGCCAUACAUAUGAUUUAAAGUUGAUGUUUACAUUUAUUCAAUACCUGUUCCUUCUUUUAUAAUGCAUUUAUUAUAAAUAUAUUUCUCAGCUAAAUUUUGUAAAUGCUGACAUUCACAGAUUUGAAACCUAUAAGAAAAACAUAAAAUGUUGGUGGAAUUAAAAUCACCACAUUUCAGACUUUCUUAAAUAAUGGUAAUAGAAAAUUUAUAGGCAGAUUCCGUAAUCCCUAAUCAGCGUUUUCUAACACAUUAGCAGUUGGUGUCUGAAAUCUGACAUUUACUGUGAAUGAGUGCCUGACAGCUUUUGUUGUAAGUUUGGGCUUUUUUGCUUAGUAAUUUGCUCCCUGCUAUCUAAGGGGAGGGAACUUUACUUCCCAAGAUGCCCUGCAAGGUGUCAAUAUCAGAUUUCCAACCCAUCCCAGAGCUCACUGUUCCCCACCAAUACCAGCUACUCUGACCUGAAAGUUUCCUUGUUCGGAGUCAGAUAUGACUUGCCCAAGGAUUGGAGGGCUUCUUCUGAGAUGUCCCUGACAGUCUUCAGAAACAUCAAGAGAGUCUCUUUUUUUGUUAAGGCCUUACAGAGACAGCCAAAGAAUCACUGAAGCUGAAUGUACUUCAUGAACUAAGGAUAUACAGCUUGCAAUGCAUUUAACAAAAGCACCAUGGGCAUUGGAUUGUACAUACUAUGCAAUGGGAACCUGGUACCUAUGUCCCAUUCAACUUCCCAAAAGGGUUACAGCAAACCUUUAGAGUGAGGUAGCUAAGUAAGUGAGAUCCACUGUAUCUAUCAUUUCUCCUGUCAUUGCUUAAACUCUUCUCCUGGGCCUCAUGCUUCCCUUGUCUUACUGCCAGACAUUCUGUGAGAGGGUCUGACCAAAAGGGGACUGACUUAAAAAUGUACCCCAUUAUUGGGACAAAAACUGAAAAUCCAUUCACUAAACCUGACACUAUCUACCCCAUCUCUAUUUAACUAUUUCACUCUUAAUACCAUAUAGGCUGCACAUGCAACAGUGGUAUCUAAUCCAGCCUAAUCUGUCAAGCAAGAUGAGUGGAUUACUACUAAAUAUGCAAACUAGACAGAGAAUGACUAAAGAAUAUGGAUGGAAAAAAUGGCAGGGACUUAGACCUCCUACCAGUUUCCUCUUGUUUGUGUGCUCAUAGGAUAUCGUCACCUGUUGGCUCAGAGAGCAGUGUUCCUUUGUUUUGUUUUUUAUAUAUUGAAAAAUGUGACUUUUAUACUACACUGAAGGAAAGAGUAGCCUCCCCACUUCACCACUUAUGUAUGUAAUUCAUUUUCUUUUGAUAAAUAUACCACAUUCCUGACAGCUUAUUUUCAUUUUCUUUCAGGAAGUUGGCAGGAAAAUGUGCUCUGAAGUUACUGAUACACGAAACAUCAUCAACAAAUCUCAAAUGCAUGGUACUAGACAAAAGAAGCCCCUCCCCAAAGACUGUAUACUACCAUAUGAAUUCAGGCAUACAAUAUUCAGGAAAAGGUGAAACUAAAAAAAAUGAGAACAAAUCAUAGUAUUCAGGGUUGAGAGGUGGGUGCUGGACUUGCCUAGAAAGAAACUUAAUGGGGGAAUUUUGACAUAGAAACAGAGAUGAACCUGUCAUGACUUUAGGAGUCGUUGCAUGACUCUGCAUAUCUAUCAAAAUCUACAGAAUUGUACAGCCAGGAAUGGUUUUGGUUUAUGUAAAAUAAAACAAUAAAUAAAUAGCAAAGUCCAUGUGAUGAAAAGAACUCCAGAUACAUGUCUAAUAAGUAUGAAUUUGCCAUGCUACUUAAGACACAUAUUUAUACUUAUUAACCUUUAGACUUACGAUGUCCAAAACUAUACUAUAAUUUUGAUAAGAUUGAUUCAAGUAUUUAAAUAACCUAUAAUCAUAGAUACAUAGUAUCUAAAAGUUGUAAAGAAUCUUGAGGGUAAUUUACCAUUAGAUUAGAAGAUCAAGAAAAACAUAUAUUCAUUGAAAUAGAUUCAGAAAAAUCCUCUGAUGACAUCUAACUACCAAUCUUAACCAGGAAAAAAAAAAGACAAAAAUCCUCUCAGCACACAGGCAUAGAAAGGAACAACCCACCAUCUAAUGAACCACAUCUGCAAAAACCGAUAAGCUAACAUCCUACUUGACAGUAAAAGACUGAAUGUUUUCCCCUAAGAUGAGGAGUAAAUCAAGGGACCACUUCGGACCACUUCUGGUUAACAGUUUGCUGGAUGUUCUACCCAGAAAUAUGAGGAAAUUAUCUUUUUUUUUUUUUCAUGGCUAUUUACCAAAAUCUACAUUUUAAAUAUGUGUGGGGUUUUUAUACAUCAGAUAUAACUCAGUAAAGCUUUAGAAAAUUACUGAUUUAAGUACAGUCCCUUCACCUACUGUGAACCAAAGCCUAAUCAAGUUCUUAGACUCCACAGUCUGACAACACUGGAUCUUAGAAAUAGCCAGGAAGUCAGGAAGUCAUUAGGUAGAGACAGGCCUGAUGGGUUGUUUUUUGUUUGUUUGUUUGUUUGUUGGCUUUGGUGCAGCGGGGGUGCUGAAAUUAUCUUAU